rnacentral:rRNA from 1 species
CGUAGGGUACAAGCGUUGUCCGGAAUUAUUGGGCGUAAAGAGCUCGUAGGUGGUUGGUCACGUCUGCUGUGGAAACGCAACGCUUAACGUUGCGCGUGCAGUGGGUACGGGCUGACUAGAGUGCAGUAGGGGAGUCUGGAAUUCCUGGUGUAGCGGUGAAAUGCGCAGAUAUCAGGAGACACCGUGCGAAGGCGGACUCUGGCUGUAACUGACACUGAGGAGCGAAAGCAAUGGGGAGCGAACAGGAUU